rnacentral:rRNA from 1 species
UACGUAGGGUGCAAGCGUUGUCCGGAAUUAUUGGGCGUAAAGAGCUCGUAGGCGGUCUGUCACGUCGGCUGUGAAAUCCCGAGGCUCAACCUCGGGUCUGCAGUCGAUACGGGCAAACUAGAGUAUUGCAGGGGAGACUGGAAUUCCUGGUGUGGCGGUGAAAUGCGCAGAUAUCAGGAGGAACACCGAUGGCGAAGGCAGGUCUCUGGGCAUUAACUGACGCUGAGGAGCGAAAGCAUGGGGAGCGAACAGG